GUUUGUGGCCAGUGAUCUUGAAAUCCACGUUCUCCUGACCUCAAGUGCACUUUCCCCACCCACCCGCGCUUGCUUGCGUUUGUUGUCUUUGGACUUGGUCACGGUCUCUACCCAGGUUCCCCUUCUGGCCGGUGAGUGGACGCUGCGGGGUGCCCUGCGGCUCCCGGUGCAGGAAGGAGCCCAGCUCUCAGCCACCGAGUAUCUCCCGCCACCCCGUCACUGGGGCCGAGGUCUCCUCUGCGUGCCGACCCGCCCCCACUCCAGCGCCCUCCAGACCUGGGAGAGAACAAGUUUCUAGCACUUUAAGCCUCCAAGUUGAUGAAAAUACAAGAAGCCAAACUUCCUGAAGUCCCCGAGUUUCUGGACCUCAGUUUAUUAAGAUAAAAUGAGAAAAAGUGGAGAAAAUGGGAAAAAACAAAAAAGGAGGAGAAACUAAAACUGAAAGAAAAAAAAUGGUAAGACAAAUGAAAGAAAGAAGAAAGGAAAAAAAACCAACGAAAUGGCAAACAGUUUGGGGCUUUUUUCCUAGGCGUUGCUUUUUCUUAAAGCAUUUCAGCUUCUUUGUGAAACGUCCAGACACGGAGUACUCACUCAUGGUGAAAAUGAUGAGACCUAGCUACAGCCUCAGACAUGAGGCGGCCUUCCUGACGAGAUCAGAAGAUUCCAACCAGAGGUUGACAAAAUUUGGAGAUGAAAAGUGAAGAGCUUGGAGACCUCAGGGGUCUCCAGGACCCGCUGGGUGAGGGUCCUGUGUGUCUGGCCAGGAUUCCGAGUGCCCGGAGGGAAGCCCGCAGGCGGGGCUGCUCAGGAAGCCCUAGGGGCCGGGUCCCUGAAGACGCGAGCAUCUCUGGGUCAGCGUGCUCUCAGCACCCCAGCCCGCCCCCAGCCCAGCCCCAGCAGGCAGGGAACCGGCAAUGAUGGCUCGGCUCCCAGAAGCUCACAGUCCAGGCCAGGCAGGACUCAAUACACCUCUAGAUCGACGUCCAGGAAGGAACCCGCACGGAGGUCAGGAGCCUCCCCUGCCCAGCUUCCUGGGGCGCCAAGAGCGUGAAUGGUCACAAGGCGCUGAUGAGACCUCUGCGCGCCCUGCAAACGGGCCUCGGCCGAGCACGCCAGAAGUUAUUAAUGGCUCGGGGGAGCCUUCUCCUGGGAAGGAGGUGAUGUGUAGAGAUUGAAGGCUUCUUUGUCUUCAGGGUCUCAGAGACACACAGCACGACGAGAAGGCAACUGCUUCCUGAGCUCGAAAAACGCCAACACCUUCAGUCAACCUGAACCCAUCUGCGGUCAUCCCAGACGCCAGCUGAUGGGAACUCACUCCCCUAGGGACUUGGGCCCCCACCUCCGGGCUGGAAGCUGCAUCCCGGCUGCCAAGUGGCUGCCUCCUUCCUUUCUUCUGCUGCUGUUUCUCACCCCGAGUGGAGUGUGCAGAGUGCUGGGGACCCCAGACCCGCGGUCAUCUGCUGCUUUCCCAUCCCCUCCUGCCCCCCCCAGCGGCCAAGGGCCUGGAUUUGGGGCCAUCCUGGGGAGACGGGCCCAUCCAUGACCGCCCAUGUGGGUUGAGGCACGUGCACAGUCCAUGGUGCACCAGGGGCCGCCAAGGUCAGCGGGCUGUGGUUUCUGAUUCGACAGGGGUGGCGGCAGCAGUGGACACAGCCCAGUGGCCCCAGUGUGCACAGGCUGGGAAGUGUCUUCCAGCCGGUCUUCUUUCUCCCAUUCCUGGGAAUGCAUGUACCCUGAGUCAGGAGAGAGGCGGGCCUGGGCACCCUCACCAGUGGCAGUGUCCACCUAGUAGCUCUUUAGCAAGUGAGGAGACAGGGGCACGGAGGAGCAGUAUCCUGCUCUUGGGCUGAAAGGGCCUCCCGGGAGAGCAGUGUGGUCGUUAGUGUGUGUUUGACACUUGCUGUGUGCCCGGCUCCCAUGGGUGAGCCCAGUCACGAGUGCUUUCCUUCCACACCUCCCUGGCCAUGUGGUCUGGGGGUUGCCCAGUCCUCCCACCAGUAACGGGGCCAAGAUGCAGGCCUUCCUACCCCACAGAGCCUGGCUCCCUCAGUGCCCCAAAACAUCAGCCACACUGUGGUCAUCAUUGAGACGAGCAAAGGCCCACAGGGGCAGAGGACCUCCCCUGCAGCAUGGACCACAGAAUGCAGGGGCCCUGGGUCCCAGUCCCCCUGCCAGAUGUCCCUGCCCCAGGCGACCACCCCUGGAGGACCCGGUGCUCUGUGAGCAGCACUGUCCCCCUGCUGGCUGAUGCUGGGGGCACGUCUUCCUCGAUGCCUGAUCUGGGUGGAUCCUCCCUGAGCCCUGGCGGGCGGGUGGGUGGGAGGAUGUGGGAGAUGAAAUCUGCAAGAUGCCAGCUCCAUGAGGCCUUCCCCGAUGGAUGGAUGGACGGAUGGAGAGUGGCGAGGGGGAGGCUUUGGAUUCCUGCCCACUGCACGCAGCACAGGGCCUGGCUGUAGUAGGCGCUCAAUAAAUGUUUGCUGAGCUGAA